AGCGCGGGAGCAAUCCUGGCGGCGAGUGGCGAACGGGUGAGUAAUAUAUCGGAACGUACCUUUCAGUGGGGGAUAACGUAGCGAAAGUUACGCUAAUACCGCAUAUUCUGUGCGCAGGAAAGCAGGGGAUCGCAAGACCUUGCGCUGAUUGAGCGGCCGAUAUCAGAUUAGCUAGUUGGUGAGGUAAAGGCUCACCAAGGCGACGAUCUGUAGCGGGUCUGAGAGGAUGAUCCGCCACACUGGAACUGAGACACGGUCCAGACUCCUACGGGAGGCAGCAGUGGGGAAUUUUGGACAAUGGGGGCAACCCUGAUCCAGCCAUGCCGCGUGAGUGAAGAAGGCCUUCGGGUUGUAAAGCUCUUUCGGCCGGGAAGAAAUCGCACAGGUUAAUACCCUGUGUGGAUGACGGUACCGGAAUAAGAAGCACCGGCUAACUACGUGCCAGCAGCCGCGGUAAUACGUAGGGUGCGAGCGUUAAUCGGAAUUACUGGGCGUAAAGCGUGCGCAGGCGGUUUUGUAAGACAGGCGUGAAAUCCCCGGGCUCAACCUGGGAACUGCGUUUGUGACUGCAAGGCUAGAGUAUGGCAGAGGGGGGUGGAAUUCCACGUGUAGCAGUGAAAUGCGUAGAGAUGUGGAGGAACACCGAUGGCGAAGGCAGCCCCCUGGGCCAAUACUGACGCUCAUGCACGAAAGCGUGGGUAGCAAACAGGAUUAGAUACCCUGGUAGUCCACGCCCUAAACGAUGUCAACUAGGUGUUGGGUGGGUAAAACCAUUUAGUACCGGAGCUAACGC
rnacentral:rRNA from 1 species